AACGAAAGCUGGCGGCGUGCUUAACACAUGCAAGCCGAACGCGAAAGGGACUUCGGUCCCGAGUAGAGUGGCGCACGGGUGAGUAACGCGUAAGUAAUCUACCCCUGUAUCUGGAAUAACCCACCGAAAGGUGAGCUAAUACCGGAUACGUUUAUCUUGAUGCGAAUGAUGAUAAAGAAAGGUGGCCUCUUCAUGAAAGCUACCGUACAGGGACGAGCUUGCGUACCAUUAGCUGGUUGGUAGGGUAAUGGCCUACCAAGGCGACGAUGGUUAGCGGGUCUGAGAGGAUGAUCCGCCACACUGGAACUGAAACACGGACCAGACUCCUACGGGAGGCAGCAGUGAGGAAUAUUGCGCAAUGGGGGCAAUCCUGACGCAGCGACGCCGCGUGGACGAUGAAGGCCCUUGGGUCGUAAAAUCCUGUCAGAUGGAAAGAAAUGUACAGGUGUUAAUAUCGCCUGUAUUGACGGUACCAUCAAAGGAAGCACCGGCUAACUCCGUGCCAGCAGCCGCGGUAAUACGGAGG
rnacentral:rRNA from 1 species